rnacentral:rRNA from 1 species
UUAAAGGGUCCGUAGCUGGCAUUCUAAGUCAGUGGUGAAAUCUUUCGGUUUUACCGCGGAUCGGCCAUUGAUACUGCAGUUCUUGAGUAUGCCUCGAAGUAGCCGGCAUAUGUCAUGUAGCGGUGACAGGCAUAGAUAUGACAUAGUACACCCAUAGUGAAGCCAGCUUAUUAGACCAUACCGGACCAUGAGCGACGAAACCGUCGGGAGCGACCAGGAUUAGUUACCCUGGUAGUCCACCCCGUAAACGAUGCUCACUAGACAUCGCCGACAUACUCUCGGUGUCAAACCGAAAGUAUUAAGUGAUCCACCUGGGGAGUACGCUCGCAAGAGUGAAACUCAAAGGAAUUCGACGGGGGCCCGCACAAGCGCUCGAGCAUGUGGUAUAAUUCGACGAUACGCGAGGAACCUUACCUGGGCGUAAAUGCAGUACGCACGAUCCAGGUCACGCGAUCUUUCUUCGCACGGACUACAAAGGUGCUGCAUGGUCGUCCUCAGCUCGUGCCGUCGAGCUCUCGGGUUAAGUCCCAUAACGAGCGCAACCCCGAUCGGUAGUUGCCACCAGGAUAACUACCGGGGACUCUAACGCAUCCGCCCGUGCAUCUCGGAGAGGAUAGGUGGGGACUGACGUGCGAAUUAUCCCGGCCCAGACCUCCAGGGAUACACACGUGCGUACAAUGGCGCCUACAAAGGGCAGCUACCAACAGACUGGACCAUAAUCUCUAAAGUGCAUCUCGGUUCGGAU